GAAAUGAGAAUUUUUCAGCAUUUAACAAGAAUUCUUGCCCUUUUUCCAUCUCCUUUGAAAGAAGAUGAGAUCUAAGAAAGGGUGAGAUUCUGUGACAGAAGCAGCUCAGGAGUGGUAGACAAAACUUCCUGGGAGAACCAACAUGACUGAGACCUCCUACAUAAGAGCGAGACUUGAGAGGACAUUAACGGGAUUAUCACUAGGAGACAGCAAGAUGCUGAACAUAUUAUAUACCUUAUCUCACUGGAUUCUAAUAAAAAUGCUGUCAGGUUUUGUGAGUGGUGCCGUGACAGCUUAUUUCCUUGGAUCAUUAAUUGCAGAAAUUCUUUGAGGCUGGCUUGCUGUUGAAGUCCAUCAAAGAGGAUGCGCAUUUGCUUUUUGCAGUAUCCUAAAGGUGCCACCGAUCUGG